CAGGCCUAAAGUCGAUAAAUAUGCUAAAAACCAGGUUUGCCACGGGACGCUAGGGGCGAUGUAUGUGAUUGUUCCAAUUCUGAUCACUGGAACCGCUUCAACUAGGUUUCUCGCGUUGCAGGGAGAAGCUCUAGGGGGUGCGCUUCCCCCUCGUCGGGGAGAGGAUUUGGGGGCGGGAUGGAGUGCGAAGGAGUUGGGGAAGGCGUGGGGGAGCGCAGGGGGUCUUCGGAACGUGCUGGAGGUGGAGGCGGUGCGGAUGGUCCCCAUUCUGGUUGGAGUUUGGUUAAAGGGUGGAGCUCCGUCGAAGAUCAGCGGUCGAAUAGGAGGGAGACUUCUCCUCUAAUGGCCAGCGAACGGUCAAUGCCACCUCGCCAUUCUACCAGGAUCCUACUAGCAAGUUCCUGAUCAAGGUGUCGUCUAAGGAAGAACUCAACUCGAUGCUCCGUCCAGGGGGUUGGAGGGUGGGGGGAACGGGUCUUGGUCGCCAACUGGUGACGGGCUGCAUCAGAUUCCUCCUAGGGAUGUGAAAGAGGGCCUUAAAUGGUGGACGAAACAAAAAUUCAAGCGUAAGGAGCUUCCAAAAAUGCUGGUCUAUUUGCUCUCAUCUAGUAGUAUGGUGGGUUUGGAAAUUAAGGAAUGAAAGAAGGCACAAGGAGUAAAAUAGACAGCGAGAUGUAGUAGAAGCUGCCUGCCUAGGAAGUCUUUAUGCAUCAGUUUCAGUAGAUAGACCGGAAUUCUGCAUCUUCGAAGCCGAUCGGGACUUGGAUAGUCAUGGGGAUUAAAUGGCACAACUGGCAUUGGGACCAUGGCAUCGAGCUUUGCAUCCAGAUUGAUUUUUUUUGAGAAAGGAUGGAGCUAUUAGGGUGGCUACCUUGGUGCGCCGCCACUAUGGCAAAUUUUUGUAUGACGCAGUCUGCUGCAGCGAGAAAUCCUUUCCAAGUCCACGUCUGUGGAUGCUCAACCAUUGUCUUCAAGAAUCAGGGAGGGGAGGCAACAUAAUUCAUUUGCAAACCAGCUGCAACAGAUGGAGGCGCAGACUCGGAAGAAUUGUUUCGGGGAUUGAUCUUUUCCUUGCUUUUUUUUGGAGAAUCACAAAUAUGCCAGACGGGUUGAAUAUAUCUAUCAGGGGCUUGUCAAUUGAGGUUUCUUCGGUUCUCAGUGCGGAGGUUUUCGUUUCUUCCUGCCUUUCUUGCUAAUCAGGACCCUAAUUCAUUUUGUGUGUACAUGUCCUCAAUUUUUUGUCAAUAAAUGCAGUGGGGCUUUCCUCUCGCAUGAAUUCUCCUGAAAAGCCAGCCCAUCUUAAAAUCUAAUUCUCAAAGCUGCAAUCAGAUCCAAUUUGAUAACAAAGUUAAUAUGUCAUUCUUAAAGUUGAAUUGAAUGUGAAUGUGCCAAGAAAAAAAACUGGCACAUUACAUUAAAAGUGAUAUUCAUUAUCCAGUUUGAUGCUUUUGUGAGAUAAAAAACAAACUCUAUCUCAAUUGGAUGUCAUUUGCCAACUCCAAAUCCGAAACAGUACUCUGUUUGGUUUUGAAAACUUUUUGAUAUCUAUUGGAAUCCUGAUG